CAGCAGCCACGGUAAUACGGAGGGGGCUAGCGUUGUUCGGAAUUACUGGGCGUAAAGCGCACGUAGGCGGCUUUUCAAGUCAGGGGUGAAAGCCCGGAGCUCAACUCCGGAAUUGCCCUUGAGACUGAGGAGCUAGCAGGUGAGAGAGGUGAGUGGAAUUCCGAGUGUAGAGGUGAAAUUCGUAGAUAUUCGGAAGAACACCAGUGGCGAAGGCGGCUCACUGGCUCAUACUGGACGCUGAGGUGCGAAAGCGUGGGGAGCAAACAGGAUUAGAUACCCGCGUAGUCCCUGUCUCUUAUAA
rnacentral:rRNA from 1 species